GAUGAACGCUGGCGGCGUGCCUAAUACAUGCAAGUCGAGCGAACAGAUAAGGAGCUUGCUCCUUUGACGUUAGCGGCGGACGGGUGAGUUACACGUGGAUAACCUACCUAUAAGACUGGGAUAACUUCGGGAAACCGGAGCUAAUACCGGAUAACAUAUUGAACCGCAUGGUUCAAUAGUGAAAGGCGGCUUUGCUGUCACUUAUAGAUGGAUCCGCGCCGUAUUAGCUAGUUGGUAAGGUAACGGCUUACCAAGGCAACGAUACGUAGCCGACCUGAGAGGGUGAUCGGCCACACUGGAACUGAGACACGGUCCAGACUCCUACGGGAGGCAGCAGUAGGGAAUCUUCCGCAAUGGGCGAAAGCCUGACGGAGCAACGCCGCGUGAGUGAUGAAGGUCUUCGGAUCGCAAAACUCUGUUAUCAGGGAAGAACAAAUGUGUAAGUAACUGUGCACAUCUUGACGGUACCUGAUCAGAAAGCCACGGCUAACUACGUG
rnacentral:rRNA from 1 species